CCUACGGGGGGCUGCAGUGGGGAAUAUUGGACAAUGGGGGGAACCCUGAUCCAGCCAUGCCGCGUGUGUGAAGAAGGCCCUCGGGUUGUAAAGCACUUUCAGUGAGGAAGAACGCCUGGUGGUUAAUACCCAUCAGGAAAGACAUCACUCACAGAAGAAGCACCGGCUAACUCCGUGCCAGUAGCCGCGGUAAUACGGAGGGUGCGAGCGUUAAUCGGAAUUACUGGGCGUAAAGCGCGCGUAGGUGGCUUGAUAAGCCGGUUGUGAAAGCCCCGGGCUCAACCUGGGAACGGCAUCCGGAACUGUCAAGCUAGAGUGCAGGAGAGGAAGGUAGAAUUCCCGGUGUAGCGGUGAAAUGCGUAGAGAUCGGGAGGAAUACCAGUGGCGAAGGCGGCCUUCUGGACUGACACUGACACUGAGGUGCGAAAGCGUGGGUAGCAAACAGGAUUAGAUACCCGUGUAGUC
rnacentral:rRNA from 1 species